GAUGAACGCUGGCGGCGUGCUUAACACAUGCAAGUCGAACGGGAAACCUUUUAUUGAAGCUUCGGCAGAUUUAGAUUGUUUCUAGUGGCGGACGGGUGAGUAACGCGUGGGUAACCUGCCUUAUACAGGGGGAUAACAGUCAGAAAUGACUGCUAAUACCGCAUAAGCGCACAGGACCGCAUGGUCCGGUGUGAAAAACUCCGGUGGUAUAAGAUGGACCCGCGUUGGAUUAGCUAGUUGGUGAGGUAACGGCCCACCAAGGCGACGAUCCAUAGCCGGCCUGAGAGGGUGAACGGCCACAUUGGGACUGAGACACGGCCCAGACUCCUACGGGAGGCAGCAGUGGGGAAUAUUGCACAAUGGGGGAAACCCUGAUGCAGCGACGCCGCGUGAAGGAAGAAGUAUCUCGGUAUGUAAACUUCUAUCAGCAGGGAAGAAAAUGACG
rnacentral:rRNA from 1 species